UGUGGCUGAGCGGUUAAGCGCUUGGCUUCCGAACUAGGGGUACCGGGUUCGAAUCCUGGUA
rfam:Biomphalaria glabrata isolate BB02 linkage group LG20 unlocalized genomic scaffold LG20_random_Scaffold300, whole genome shotgun sequence.